rnacentral:rRNA from 1 species
GACGAACGCUGGCGGCGUGCUUAACACAUGCAAGUCGAACGAAGUGGCGAACGGGUGAGUAACGCGUAAUCAACCUGCCCUUCAGAGGGUGACACCAGUUGGAAACGCCUGCUACUACCGCAUACUGCAGGUGGGUCUUGCGUCUGAUUAGCUAGUCGGAGGGGUAACGUCCCACCAAGGCGAUGCUCAGUAACCGGACUGAGAGGAUGAACGGCCACAUUGGGACUGAGACACGACCCAGAGGCCUACGGGAGGCAGCAGUGGGGAAUCUGCCGAAAGAGACGAAAGUCUUACGGAGCAACGCGGAGUGAGUGAGGACGGCCUUCGGGUUGGAAAGCUCUGUUAAUCGGGACGCGGUACCGGGAUAGAAAGCCACGGCUAACUACGUGCCAGCAGCCGCGGUAAUAC